AUUUUCUUAAUAUAUUAGUAUAUUUAACUUCCAAUUAAAAAGUCUUAAAUAAUUAAGAGAUAAUA
rnacentral:tRNA from 1 species